AUUGAACGCUGGCGGCGUGCCUAACACAUGCAAGUCGAGCGGCAGCGCGGGAGCAAUCCUGGCGGCGAGCGGCGGACGGGUGAGUAACGCUUGGGAAUCUGCCUGUUAGUGGGGGACAACCCGGGGAAACUCGGGCUAAUACCGCAUACGCACUACGGUGGAAAGCCGGGGACCGCAAGGCCUGGCGCUAACAGAUGAGCCCAAGUCGGAUUAGCUAGUUGGUAGGUAACGGCCUGCCAAGGCGACGAUCCGUAACUGGUCUGAGAGGACGACCAGUCACACCGGAACUGAGACACGGUCCGGACUCCUACGGGAGGCAGCAGUGGGGAAUAUUGGACAAUGGGGGAAACCCUGAUCCAGCGACGCCGCGUGGGUGAAGAAGGCCUGCGGGUUGUAAAGCCCUUUCAGUGGGGAAGAAAAGCCUCGACCUAAUACGUUGGGUCUUGACGUAACCCAUAGAAGAAGCACCGGCUAACUCUGUGCCAGCAGCCGCGGUAAC
rnacentral:rRNA from 1 species